rfam:Triticum aestivum genome assembly, contig: Triticum_aestivum_CS42_TGACv1_scaffold_050660_1BS
CUAGUACUCCCUCCAUCCCAAAAUUCUUGUCUUAGAUUUGUCUAGAUACGGAUGUACCUAAUACUAAAACUUGACUUGAUACAUCCGUAUUUAGACAAAUCUAAGACAAGAAUUUUGGAACGGAGGGAGUACCUU